AUGGUUCGCUACUCUCUUGACCCAGAAAACCCCACAAAAUCAUACAAACCAAGAGGUUCGAAUCUUCAUGCUCACUUUAAGAACACCCAGGGAACUGCCCGGGCCAUCAAGGGUCUACAUAUCCUCAAAGCUACUUAGUAUCUGAAGGAUGUCACUAAAGAAGCAAUGUGUGCCAUUCCGGAGGUGUGAUGGUGGAGUCCGUAAGUGUGCCCAGACCAAACAGUGGGCUGGACACAGGGACGGUGGCCAAAGAAGAGUGCUGAAUUUUUGCUGCACACGCUUAAAAAUGCAGAGAGUAAUGCUGAACUCAAGGGUUUAGACGUAGACUCUCUCGUCAUUGAACACAUCCAGGUGAGCAAGGCACCUGAGAUGCGCCCACGAACCUCCAGAAUCUCAUGGCUGGAUUAACCCAUACAUGAGCUCCCCCUGCCACAGUGAGAUGACCCUCACUGAGAAUGAACAGAUGGUUCCAAAGCCAGAAGAGGAGGUCGCACAGAAGGAAAGAUAUCCCAGAAGAAAUUGAAGAAACAAAAACUCAUGGCAUGGGAAUAA
rnacentral:lncRNA from 1 species